UACGGGGGGGGCAAGCGUUGUUCGGAAUUACUGGGCGUAAAGGGCUCGUAGGUGGCCAACUAAGUCAGACGUGAAAUCCCCAGGCUCAACUUGGGAACUGCGUCUGAUACUGGAUGGCUUGAAUUCGGGAGAGGGAUGCAGAAUUCCACGUGUAGCAGUGAAAUGCGUAGAGAUGUGGAGGAACACCGAUGGCGAAGGCAGCCCCCUGGGUCAAGAUUGACGCUCAUGCACGAAAGCGUGGGGAGCAAACAGG
rnacentral:rRNA from 1 species